CCAUACCAAAAACAAUUGCCAUCGGAGCAUACAAACGGGCUAAUUUCGUCGCGAAACUAGUCAAUAUUAGCUCCGGGGAAAGUCUCCGGUCAUCAUGUUACUAUGGUCUUGAAAAGAAGCUGUCACAGGCUUCUUGGAUAGAAUUGGAAACAUAAAGCACGACGCUUUUUGGACCUGGCCGCUAGGUCUUAGACCAUACCAAAGUGUCCGCGCUGCGGGGGCUCGGUCCAACUUCGGCAUUAUUGCAAAGCUAUUUGGCUUGUGCAUGAUUACAGUCAUGGCAAUUGCUUUUCUGCUUGUAAGAAAGGUAACCCGAUGGAGCUUAGUCUUGCGGUAUG
rnacentral:RNase_MRP_RNA from 2 species